rnacentral:rRNA from 1 species
CUGGCUCAGGGUGAACGCUGGCGGCGUGCCUAACACAUGCAAGUCGAGCGGUGCAGCUGGAGGCUUCGGCCGAAGGCUGCAUAGCGGCGGACGGGUGCGUAACGCGUAGGAACGUGCCCCCUGGAGGCGGAUAGCCGCGGGAAACUGCGGGUAAACCGCCAUAGACUCGUGAGAGUAAAGGCCGAAAGGCGCCAGGGGAGCGGCCUGCGUCCCAUCAGGUAGUUGGUAGGGUAAUGGCCUACCAAGCCUACGACGGGUAGCCGGUCUGAGAGGAUGGCCGGCCACAAGGGCACUGAGACACGGGCCCUACUCCUACGGGAGGCAGCAGUGGGGGAUAUUGGACAAUGGGCGAAAGCCUGAUCCAGCGACGCCGCGUGGAGGACGAAGCCCUUCGGGGUGUAAACUCCUUUUGUCGGGGAAAAAGGACUGAUGGUACCCGACGAAUAAGCCCCGGCUAACUACGUGCCAGCAGCCGCGGUAAUACGUAGGGGGCGAGCGUUACCCGGAAUCACUGGGCGUAAAGGGUGCGUAGGCGGCCGCGUGUGUCUGGCGUAAAAUUCCACGGCUCAACCGUGGGAAUGCGCUGGAAACUACGUGGCUUGGGUGCGGCAGAGGCAGACGGAACUGCUGGUGUAGGGGUGAAAUCCGUAGAUAUCAGCAGGAACGCCGGUGGAGAAGUCGGUCUGCUGGGCCGUAACCGACGCUGAGGCACGAAAGCUAGGGGAGCGAACCGGAUUAGAUACCCGGGUAGUCCUAGCCGUAAACGAUGCUCACUAGGUGUGGGGGCGGAAGCCUCCGUGCUGAAGCAAACGCGAUAAGUGAGCCGCCUGGGGAGUACGCCCGCAAGGGUGAAACUCAAAGGAAUUGACGGGGGCCCGCACAAGCGGUGGAGCGUGUGGUUUAAUUGGAAGCUAAGCCAAGAACCUUACCAGGGCUUGACAUGCUGGUGGUACCGAGCCGAAAGGUGAGGGACCCUACCUUUGGGUAGGGAGCCAGCACAGGUGGUGCACGGUCGUCGUCAGCUCGUGCCGUGAGGUGUUGGGUUAAGUCCCGCAACGAGCGCAACCCCUGCCCUUAGUUGCCAGCGGUUCGGCCGGGCACUCUAAGGGGACUGCCGGCGACGAGCCGGAGGAAGGAUAGUGUUAACUU